rnacentral:rRNA from 1 species
UACGUAGGGUGCAAGCGUUAAUCGGAAUUACUGGGCGUAAAGCGUGCGCAGGCGGUUUUGUAAGUCUGACGUGAAAUCCCCGGGCUUAACCUGGGAAUUGCGUUGGAGACUGCAAGGCUAGAAUCUGGCAGAGGGGGGUAGAAUUCCACGUGUGAGCAGUGAAAUGCGUAGAGAUGUGGAGGAACACCGAUGGCGAAGGCAGCCCCCUGGGGUCAAGAUUGACGCUCAUGCACGAAAGCGUGGGGAGCAAACAGG